rnacentral:rRNA from 1 species
GAGUUUGAUCUUGGCUCAGAUUGAACGCUGGCGGCAGGCCUAACACAUGCAAGUCGGGCGGUAGAGAGAAGCUUGCUUCUCUUGAGAGCGGCGGACGGGUGAGUAAUGCCUAGGAAUCUGCCUGGUAGUGGGGGAUAACGCUCGGAAACGGACGCUAAUACCGCAUACGUCCUACGGGAGAAAGCAGGGGACCUUCGGGCCUUGCGCUAUCAGAUGAGCCUAGGUCGGAUUAGCUAGUUGGUGAGGUAAUGGCUCACCAAGGCGACGAUCCGUAACUGGUCUGAGAGGAUGAUCAGUCACACUGGAACUGAGACACGGUCCAGACUCCUACGGGAGGCAGCAGUGGGGAAUAUUGGACAAUGGGCGAAAGCCUGAUCCAGCCAUGCCGCGUGUGUGAAGAAGGUCUUCGG